AGAGGGCUGCCCGUCGGCCGGAGACCGAGUUAAGCACCGAGCUGUAAAUCGCUUGAGACCUGUAUUUGGUUGUUUUGUUGGUUUUGCCAAGUAAGGUCACUUGAGGAUAUUUUGGCUCGAGGUCCCAGGCUGCGCAGACUGCAUCGAGUUGAGAAUUUUGGUCAGAAUGUUAAAGGGGAAACCUACCCCAGGCUGUCGUGACUUUUGCAUUCUGGUAACCAACUGAUCCUACCCGGACCCAUGAUGCAUAACUCAGCUGGUCCUGUGGCGCACACCCAGAGGCCGACUUAAUGCAUGGAGACUGUUUUCCACACCCCUAUGAUUUCAUCCCCAACCAAGCAGCAGCAUCCAUUCCCUAGCCCCCUGCCCACCAAAUUAUCCAUAAAAACUCUGGCUUCUGAGUUCUCAGCAAAACUGAUUUGAGUAAUAACUCCAGUUCUUCCACUUGACUGGCCUUAGUUAAUUAAACUUAUUCUUUACUAUAAUACCGUGUUCCCAGUGAAUUGGUUUUGUCUGUGUAGCAGGCAGGAUGAACCCAUCAGGCAAUCACACAGUUACUGUGCAGUGUUUCUUUUUAUUUUGCUUUUCAAACAAAUUUCAAAUAUUAUUAGAUUGAAAUAAACUAUACAAAAUAGCUUUUCCUCACAAAAA